GUGAUGAGUCGCUCCACCGCGGCGCCGGGGCUUUAAGCCGGCGACGAGGAAAGUCCGGGCAACGCAGAGCACCCUGCUUCCUAACGGGAAGGAUGGGCCGCAAGGCUCAGACAGCCAGUGCCACAGAAAAUAACCGCCCGGCGGUAUAGUUGUCAGUUGUCCGUUGUUGGUUGUUAGUUUGUUCUAACGCACUGACAACGGAGAACUAAAAACUGACAACUAACUGCCAGGUAAGGGUGAAAAGGUGCGGUAAGAGCGCACCAGCGGCUGGGUGACCACGCCGGCUGGGUAAACCUCAGGGGUUGAAAGACCAAAUAAGCGGGUACGCCGGUGGGCAACCACCGGCACCGGGCGGCUCGUCCGGCAUCCGUGGGUAGGUUGAUGGAGCCUUUCCGCGAGGACUGGCCUAGAUAAAUGGUGGAGGCGCGGCCCCUUGGGGCAGCGUACAAAACCCGGCUUACAGACUCAUCACCCGU
rnacentral:RNase_P_RNA from 1 species